AGCAGCCGCGGUAAUUCCAGCUUUUCCAAUAGCGUAUAUUAAAGUUGUUGCAGUUAAAAAGCUCGUAGUUGAAUUUCGGGAUCAGUAUGUUGGUCGUGCUUCGGUACGUACUGUCAUUACUGGUUUCUACCUUCUGAAGAACCUUGAUGUCAUUAAUUUGGUGUCUUGGGGAAUCAGGACUGUUACUUUGAAAAAUUAGAAGUGUUUAAAGCAAGCAUACGCUUGAAUACAUUAGCAUGGAAUAAUGAAACAGGUACGUUUGAUUCU
rnacentral:misc_RNA from 1 species